GGAGGUCUGGGGUACAGAGUCUGUAAUGGGAGCCGUACAGACAAGACACUCCCCUCUACUCUCUGCCUCCUCACUGCUCCUGGCCCCUCCUCCUGUCCCCACAGUGACUGCAGCUGCUCGGGGGAGGAUCUGAUAUACUGGUGAUGCAGUCGAGGAGGGGACUACAGUUUGCACAAGUGCCACAUGAGAUCCACGAGAACGCCUUCUCUACCCCAGUGCUCUUCCUUUUGCAUUCUACUAUUCAUGUUUUGGAUCUGCAGCUACCUGCAAGUUAACCUGAACAGCAAAGAAGAAUGGGUGGAUGCCCGGAUGAUGCCCUUCGGGUGAGCGGAUCGGGACAGCAAGAUCUCGUCGGUUCCCGAGGUAACUUCCCGUAAGCACUACAGAGGAACCCACAGAAUACAUCAGAUGUGAGUGAGGAGAAGUGCGCUACAGGAACAUAAUUGUGACCUCUUGUCUUCUCCUCGCCUCCCGAGUUUGGAGAUGACUCCAGCUGUCUUCCCUGCCCUUCUCAAUACAUGUGAUAAUCAUACUCAUUUUUCCCAGUCUAACCAGACAUAGACUCUACUAAGACUGGGAUUUUUUUUUUCUUUAUAUGAUUUGGAACCAUUGGAUCUGCAGUGAUAUAACAAAAAAAAAUAAAAAAAAAUACAAAGCUUAAAGUGCCAGAAGGUGCCUUUUUCUAUUUGUUUGUUUCAUGGUACGCUGCACCAGGCAAUGACCUGUGACGGGAGAGCCGGGCACACAACAGAAACAGCUUCACCCGCUCAAAGAAAACGUAAAAUUAACAAUGAUCCGUUCAUUGCUCUAUGCAGGGAAUCGGAAGGAUACAUUUUGUUACCGCUGUUUUAUCAUGAUUAUAGCUGGUCGAUCCGAUUAAGGCUGGAGUCUGCAUUACGGUCACAAUAUUCCGAUUUAUGCCGUUCUUCACAACCCUGGAACAUGGAGGGUACAGACGUAU